rnacentral:lncRNA from 1 species
GUCAAGUUCAAUAAUGACGAUUUUGACUUUUACCGUUCAGGAGUUAUGGUUCUUGAAAGAUAGUAAAAUGGCGUUUCCAUUCACGUUGUUGCAUUUACUCAUGAACCAUUCAAUCUAAGCUUUUCAAAUUUUAAUAUGUUGAUACUGAUGACAAAAUGGAGGUCAAAUUUGAUAUUGACGAUUUUCACUUUCACCAUUCAUCAGUAAUGGUUCUUGUGAUAUUGCCAGGACACAAAUAAAUGUUAAUAAAUCCGGUUUGCUGUCGUUGUGACAGCCUCUUGUUUUAUAUAGAUUAGACCGUUUGUUUUCCCGUUUGAAUGGUUUUACACUAGUAAUUUUGGGGCCCUUUAUAGCUUGUUGUUCGGUGUGAACCAAGGCUCCGUGUUGAAGGCCGUACAUUGACCUAUAAUGGUUUACUUUUUUUUAAAUUGUUAUUUGGAUGGAGAGUUGUCUCAUUGUCACUCACAC